rnacentral:rRNA from 1 species
UGGGUGACCUGCCCUCAGCUCUGGGAUAAGCCUGGGAAACUGGGUCUAAUACCGGAUAUGACCUUCUGUCGCAUGGCGGUGGGUGGAAAGUUUUUCGGCUGGGGAUGGGCCCGCGGCCUAUCAGCUUGUUGGUGAGGUAAUGGCUCACCAAGGCGACGACGGGUAGCCGGCCUGAGAGGGUGACCCGGGCCACACGUG